rnacentral:tRNA from 1 species
AGGGAUAUAGCUCAGUGGUAGAGCACCUGUUUUGCAUGUAUGGGGAUCUGGGUUUAAUUCCCAGGCUCUCCA